GUGCUUGCUUCAGCAGCACAUACACCAAAACUGGAACAAUACGGAGAUUAGCAUGGCUCCUGCGCAAGGAUGACAAGCAAAUUCAUGAAACCUUCCAUAUUUUA
ensembl:snRNA U6 U6 spliceosomal RNA